rnacentral:rRNA from 1 species
UACGUAGGGGGCAAGCGUUGUCCGGAUUUAUUGGGCGUAAAGAGCGUGUAGGCGGCCUGACAGGUCUGCUGGGAAAACUCGAGGCUCAACCUCGAGAUGUCGGCGGAAACCGUCUGGCUAGAGUCCGGAAGAGGAGAGUGGAAUUCCCGGUGUAGCGGUGAAAUGCGCAGAUAUCAUUUGGAACGCCAAUGGUGAAAACAGCUGACUGGGAGUGUGCUGACGCUGAGACACGAAAGCCAGGGGAGCGAACGGG